ACCCACAUCAUGUUGAAACACUGGUUCCUGUACAAUCAAUGAAGUUAAGCAACAUUGAGCCUGGCCAGUACUGAGAUAGGUGACUGCUUGAGAAUACCAGGUGCUGUAAG